rnacentral:misc_RNA from 1 species
GAAAUGCGAUAAGUAAUGUGAAUUGCAGAAUCUCGUGAAUCAUUGAAUCUUUGAACGCACAUUGCGCCCUAUGGUAUUCCGUAGGGCAUGCCUGUCUGAGCGUCAGCUCGUCUUCUCAAGCUCUUUUGCUUGGAUAACAUUGGAAUUGCAAUACACGCUCGAUCCGGAGUCUGUGUGCAAUCCAGAAAUAUAUAGGCGGUACGGUUCUAGCAAACCAGACGUAAUAAUAUUCUUAUCUAUCGUUAAUUUGUUGAAGCUGUUGCUUGCCUUUUAAUCCACAUCUUAUCCAAGAUGACCUCAGAUCAGGUAGGGAUACCCGCUGAACUUAA